UCGGGCAUGGUGUAUGGCACACAGCUGGCUCUCUUGAGUAUCCAGCAUGGUGACCAGCGAAAUCGGGGUUCGACUCCCCGUGUCCGAA